UACUCAAUACAGAGCCUCACUGUUCCC
rnacentral:piRNA from 1 species